rnacentral:rRNA from 1 species
AGCCUAGCAGCUAGCUCAAGUUUAACAAAACGCAACAACUCACUAUUAAUAAACCCCAACACACCUAAGAACCCCCAAACAAAACAUUUUUCCCCCUUAGUAUGGGCGACAGAAAAGGACAUAAGCGAAGCAAUAGAACCAGUACCGCAAGGGAAUGCUGAAAGAAAGAUGAAAAAGAUUAGUAAAGCACAGAAAAGCAGAGAUUAUUUCUCGUACCUUUUGCAUCAUGAUUUAGCAAGAAGAUAUCAGGCAAAAAGACCUGUAGUCUGAUACCCCGAAACCAAGUGAGCUACUCCAGGACAGCCUUCUAGGGCGAACCCGUCUCUGUGGCAAAAGAGUGGGAAGAUCCUUGAGUAGAGGUGAUAGACCUACCGAACUCGGUUAUAGCUGGUUGCUCAGGAAAUGAAUAGUAGUUCAGCCUUUUAUUCUCUUUCCCCUCCAACCGAUUUCGCCGUCCAAGCGACCAAGAGAACUAAAAGAGUUAGUCAAAGGGGGUACAGCCCCUUUGAAAACAGACACAACUUUCCCAGAAGGGUUAAGAUCAAAUAACUCUAGGAAUAAUGUUCUAGUUGGCCUAAAAGCAGCCACCCAAACAGAAAGCGUUAAAGCUCAUACAUAACUAAUAACCUAUUAUCCCGACUAUACAAUCUUAUCCCCCUAAACUAUACUGAGCCUUCCUAUACUUCUAUAGGAGAGACGAUGCUAAUAUGAGUAAUAAGAGGGGCCCGCCCCUCUCCCUGCACAAGUGUACAUCGGAACGAACCAACACCGACCAUUAACGGCCCCAUUGAAUAGAGGGCACUGGAACACAUGACUCUAGUCCACUAGAAAAGCGUCCAUACCGAACCGUUAACCUUACACCAGAGUGCUAACCAGGAAAGACUAAAAGAAAGAGAAGGAACUCGGCA